CCCAAGUCAUCACUAAGUGGGAAAGCAUGUGGGAUUUCCAAAACAACCAGGAGGUUGGCUUAGAAGCAGCCAUCCUUUAAAGAAAGCGUAACAGCUCACUGGUCUAAAUAAGAGAUCCUGCGGCGAAAUGUAUCGGGGCUAAAGUGAUGCACCGAAGCUUAGGGUUCAGUCUUUGACUGAGCGGUAGCGGAGCGUUCCGUAAGCGAGUGAAGCGGGAGGGUAACCGACCGUGGACGUAUCGGAAGUGCGAAUGCUGACAUGAGUAGCGACAAAAAGGGUGAGAUGCCCUUUCGCCGAAAGACCAAGGGUUCCUGCGCAACGCUAAUCGGCGCAGGGUGAGCCGGCCCCUAAGACGAG
rnacentral:rRNA from 1 species